CAGUAGGGAUGUGGGGCUCAGCGGGCUUCAUCUGUUCAAUAUGGGUGCUGAGGGAUGGGCUUUCAGAGCAUUGAUCUGGUGUUUACAUUUAGGGCCAGAACACCCCAGUCAAAACCCUCCCGUGGCAUUUCUGUGAUUUUUUUCUGCUCUAGACAAGAACUGGAAGAGGAUGGGAGGCAUGAAGACUACUUGUUCCCUUUCACAGAGAUUCAGAAGCAACGUACUCUGUUAGCUGGGAGAAAAGAUGCGUGCUUGAAGCAGAGAGAUCUGCUGCCCCUCCCUGCUCAGCAAUGCCCUUUCUGUGCAGCUCAGCCAACCUUCUCAAUCAGCUCAGAUUCUGCUCUCAGGCAUUGCCUGGGCUCAGUUCCCAGCAGGUCAGGGUGGGAACAGUUUGGAUUCUCUUGCUGUUGCCAGCUGGUGCUCUGCUCCCUGAGUGGCUCAUCAAGGCGGAGGGAUGAAUGUUCCCCAGCUGGUGCACAUCCAAUGUCAGGCUGACUUUGUCCCACAGAAGAAUGGGUAACCCAAUGGGAAGGAAGGAGGGAAAUAGGCACUACGUAAAGCAUUGCUUGCAAAGUGGCCCAGUAUCAGCACUGCUCUCCAGAAUGCCACGCAGAGAAGUUGGGAGCAAGCUCCAGUUCUGCUCCCUCCGAAGUCCCACCUCAGUGCAGAGCUCCUCUGCCUGGCCACAAAGGCACUUCCCAGCCAAUUGAUGAAGAGAGUAGUUCCCAUUUCCUCACUCUUGAAUCUGCUGACAGCAUCUCUUGGGGAGUGAUGGAUACUGGAGAUGAUUUAUAGAUCUUUGUUACACAAAUUCCUCCACAUUCUUCCUUGUCCUCACACAGCAACCAUCAGCCACCUCUCCCAGCAGAAAAGCAAGAGCUUCAGCCUGGGAUCAGCGCAAAGGACGCUCCUUUGGGUCUCUCCUGCACUGCUUUACUCUCUGUGCAUACAGCAGCAGCUGCAAGUGGAGAUGGGCACCAAGGAGGGACACAGUGGUGUGCUGUACCCACCCACUCAUGGUUUCUGCACAGCUGCUUUCAUCCCUCUGCUGGGAAGUCAAAAGGUUGGCCCAAAAAGAAAAAA